AUUGAACGCUGGCGGCAGGCUUAACACAUGCAAGUCGAACGAGUGGCGGACGGGUGAGUAAUGCUUGGGAAUCUAGCUUAUGGAGGGGGAUAACUACGGGACACUGUAGCUAAUACCGCGUACCAUAGGUUGAGCCUAAGUGGGAUUGGGUAGUUGGUGAGGUAAGGGCUCACCAAGCCGACGACCUCUAGCUGGUCUGAGAGGAUGACCAGCCACACUGGGACUGAGACCCGGCCCAGACUCCUACGGGAGGCAGCAGUGGGGAAUAUUGCGCAAUGGGGGCAACCUGACGCAGCCAUGCCGCGGGAAUGAAGAAGGCCUUCGGGUUGUAAAGUUCUUUCGGUAGCGAGGCGUUAACGACAGAAGAAGCACCGGCUAACUCCGUGCCAGCAGCCGCGGUAAUUC
rnacentral:rRNA from 1 species